GCGAGAUGGAAAGGCUGGAUAUACGAUGACAACAUGUUGAUUCAAUGGUGAACAAAAUGAUCGCAAACGGAGAGUGGAUUUACUUGCUGAUGAACUGACGACAGCCUGUUAACAUGGCUGAGGCAAGACAGGGGUCGGACACGCUCCCUGAAAGGGGAAAAGUACAACAAGUGUGCCGCCAGUGGCUGGUCCAUGAGGACGGAGUCAAGGCAUACCAGAUGCAGAAUGAGGAGUUUGACUUCCACUAUGGUUUGAAUCGGAAGAACCGGCGGACGGUGAGAGAAGACAUUCCAGUAGCCAAGGUUGUGCAGAGUGAGGAGGAGAAACAGAUGCAAGAGGAGCGGUACCAGCAGCUGCAGGCUCUCAAUGUCCAAGCGGAGGAGGAUGAGAAGGUGGCACAGCGGAUGAAGGUACAGCUGGAGGUGGAGGAUCUUCAGAGACAAAAGAUGCGUGAAGUUGAAGACCAGGAAAUAGCAAGACAGAUUCAGGAGAAAGAGAAGAAGAAAUACGAGAAGUAUCUGGAGAAGAAGAAGGAGAAACAGCUUCAGAAACAGAGGGAGAAACUAGAGCGGCAGCUGGCACAGCAUACAGAGGAGGCUCGGCUCGUCCUCGCUGCUGAUGGGGCGAGCCUGCAGCAACUUGGCUCAGCUGUUGAAGACAUGAAUCUGGGCAGUGGUCAAAGGGGGACAACUGCAAAUGGACAUUCUAGGUAUAGAAGAAGGGUAACCCCUGCCGGUCACAUCGAGGAUGAUGGCGACUUUAGCGACUUCUACACAGUCCCCAAUGAUGGGUCGGUCAAUCCCGUUGAACAUCGAGCAAUACAAGAACUCCAAGAUGAGGAACUUGCACGUCUACUACAGGACCAAGAACACAAGCGGACGAAAGCUGAGGUGGACCGAGGCAAGCUGCGUCAGAUCGAGGUGCAGGACGAGCAGCUGGCCAGGGUCAUCCAGGAACAGGAGAAACUCAAGGCCAGGAAGGUCAAACAGCGGCGGAAGCAACUACUUGAACAGCAGCGACAACAGCAGAUGGCCCAGGAAGCUAUGGCAUCAGGAAUGAACAUGUCUGCGGCAGUAGAAUCAAUUUCCAUGCAGGCAAAUGGCGAAUCCCCACCCGGACAUCGGUACCGCCGAGACAGCUACACCCGCUCCAUCUCCAACAGCAACACCCCAGCGCAGGAAUCUCAAUCUGUCCAUCACCAAACCGUCACCAAGCAGAUGUCUGCUCCUCCCAAUCUCCCCCCACGGGAACCCCCCUCCUACCAGACCCAUCAACGUAUUCAGGAGGAGCGGAGUGCGGGAGGGAGAUAUCCCCCCUCGGGGGACAUGCCGGUGGAUCAAGCUCGGGACAUGCAGCGCUGGUUGGACGGGAUGUCGCCCCAUCACGUGCCUUCUCACCACCGCGAUCGGCGGGUGUCACAGGAGGAACAUAUGGCGCCAUCACCCUCACCGCCAGGGAGUUACCAUAGCGAUGAGGAUGGUAGCAGAUCAUUUAGUCCAGAUCGGUCCAUGGGUUCGAGUCAUGCUGUUAGCACGCCCGUACAGUUUAAUAUUGCUGCAGCCAUUGACCCCACCUACAAGAGACGACAACAAGAUAUACAUAUUGCUGACCAGACCGAAGUCAAAACACAGAUACCGCUUUCCAGAUCACUGCCUUUGACUGAUGAUGUGGACCUUGAGUGGGAUCCUGGACUCCGUGGGAGUCUCCGUCGCCUCAAGGGACACUGGAACCCAAUGAUGGGACACUAUCAAGAGUCUACAGGCACAGUGAGCACCUUGAGUCGCAUGGAGGAAGAACCCGGUCCGGAAGGGCCUGUCAUAAAUCCAUGGCAACCGGUUCAAGGUCAGAAGAGGUCAACUUUGGACAAGUCCCGGAAGGCCAAGCGGCAAAGUCAAGAGGCAAGACCAAGCAAGAAGGAAUCGAAAGGAAGCUGUAAGCAGCAGUAACUCAUAUAUAUGAUUCAAACUGAUGACUCAAUGUUUGCAUAAAGAGAUGAGAUUAGUAUUGGCUGAAGAGGACCAAUGAAGGAGGAGGAGAAGAAUUGUUUGAACCUUUGACAAACCAUUAGCCUGAAUGUGUUGAAGACAUAUUGACUUUUAAACGAUGUGCACACUCGAUCAUUAGCCUGGACCAGCUGACUUUCAAUUAAUGUGCAUCUCUAACCAAUUGCCUGAAAGGGGUUGGGGUAGCCAAGUGGUUAAAGCGUUCGCUUGUCACACCCGGGUUCGAUUUCCCACAUGGACACAAUGUGUGACACCAUUUCUGGUGUCUCCAGCCGUGAGCAUUGCUGGAAUAUUGCCAAAAGCAGCGUAAAACUAAACUGACUCACUAACCAUUAGCCUUAAGACCAGCUAACUUUUAACCAGGAAGCGUAGUAUAGUACAUGGUGCUGGGUCUAUGUGUUUGCUACUGGUGAAGUCUGUGUAUGUUGGUGAUGUUCUUCAGUCAGGGUAUUUCUCCCUUGUUACCACUUCCUCCAUUGUAAUAGACAGAGUUCUGGUUCUGGAACUAUGCAUUCACAACAAUAGGUUGCCUUGGUUACACUCAAACAAAUGCUCACUGAGGCGCCAGACAAGCGUGCCUCCAUUUUUGGUGCGUGAAGAUCUGAUAACAUCUGAUAUUUAUUUGAUAAUUUAAACUGUAUAUUAGCCUCUAUGUAUUUGUAAUGUAUCCUUGCUAGUAGGUAAAUUGUAUAUCGUUUUAGAUAGUUAUUAUAUCAGGAAUAUCAAAUUACAUAAAAAUAGUGGCAUGUUUAAAUUGAAAUAUGUAUGCAAUAAUAGAUUGUGAAAACAACCGUGUGAACCUUCUAGGUUGUAAUCUUUUAGUUUUAUAGGAACAGAAUGGACAGCUGAGAGCAUGGGAUUUUUCCAAAUAAAGAUGGGAGGUGGGGCAACCUAGUGGUUAAAGCUUUCCCUUGUCACGCUGAAUUUUCAGAUUCAAUUCCCUACAUGGGUACAAUUUGUGAAGCCCAUUUCUGGUGUCCGCCGCUGUGAUAUUGCUGGAGUAUUGCUAAAAGCAACGUCAAACCAAACUCACUAGGUAAAGGCUUCCAUUACAUUAACUGGACUAGAAAAAACAAAGGUAGAUGAGAGGAAUUCAGGUUGGCAACUUGAGUUUAUUGAGAGAUGUAACGUUACAUAAUUGUCACAUGUAAACUGGGGUUUACAAGGAAUUGUAACAUACAGUUUUCCUGUCUCAUUAUGACAGAUGUUUUAUUCCAUGAUACCUUUCUCCAUGGAUGACUUUCUAAUCAGGAAGUUGAUGUUAAUGCCUCUAUCUUGUGACAGAAUCCUAUCAAAAUCUUCCUAUUGAGAAAAGUAUCCUGUCUAAACCUUACUACUGGAGAAAAUCAUCCCCUUUAAACCUUUCCAGAAGGACUUCAGUCUAAAUAUGGAAGAUUUAUGUAGACAUAAGAGCCAUGGUUGUAAUUCACAACACAUAUUUUGUAUCUUUGUUUUGGGGAAGAAAUAUUUGAAUACUAUGGCCUUGACAGUUAUUAGCAUCAGGAGGUCUGCCUUGAAUACACCUCAGUUAUCUGCCCUUGUUGCUUGGCACCAGUACACACAUUUGGGUUAUGUCCCCUUGUUGCUUGGCACCAUUACAGAAGGUUGUGACUUGCUCAUUAGUUUAGAAUAUGUCAACUAUAUUCUCACUUGUUGUUGAAAGGGUAAAAUGGUCUUUAAGGCCAUCCAAGCCUGUUUGUUGUGAAGACAGUGUUGAUUUACCAACCUGCUGUUAACAACCGCGCCUAUUCAUGUUGUUAUUUUUCCAAUUAUCGGCCUGAUUUUAAACAGCUGUCGUGCUGCAAGGAAACCAAAAGCGUGACCAGUUCUUGCUGAAUUUAGGAAAAUUAUAUGUGGACGAUUUUCUCCUGUUUUUAGGAAAAUGUUCAGGAUUUUCUUGGAUGAAAUUGUCUUUGUUAGUCUGUGGAUCUUGUCUUCGAUCAUUGUGCCAUUGAAACAUACCCAGUGGUAGCUCUUAUGGUUGAGACUGUAUUUAUAUACUCAAAUUUAUUUAUUUUAUCCAAACAUCGUUAUAAACAUCCUCUAAAUUUUCAGGGCUAUAGUUUGGGUGAACCAGCACUAACUCCUUGAUCUAAUCCCAGGACUAUCACGGAUUUGUGAUUGGAAGUGGAUCCAGGGGUUGGUGUGGCUACUAGGGUUGGUGUGGAUCCAGGGGUUGGUGUGGAUCCAAGGGUUUUGGAUACCUGGAGAUACUGAGGAUGCAUUAUAACGUGAUGAAGGUGAACAUUAAUAACUAAUGUAUUGUCUUAUGGGCAAAGAAGUGUUAUAAUAAUGGUAGAUAAAUCAUGGGUGGCCCAGUCAUCAAACACACUGCAAUUUGCUCCGGAGAUUUCUGUCUCUUGAGCAUGCUAUAGACAUAUGAUCGGGGCUUCGAAUCUCAGAUUUGUCUUGAGUUUUCCCUUGGUAUUUACACCAAACACUUCUGAUCGGUUUGCCUUGGUUGCAGUCAUACAUAACAACCUUAGCGCUACGACUGUCGUAAGUCAAUGUUUAGACAUGAGAGAUACGAUGUCUGUGCUAAGGGGGCGGUGGGGUAGCCUAGUGGUUAAAGCGUUGG